UACGUAGGAUGCAAGCGUUGUCCGGAAUUAUUGGGCGUAAAGAGCGUGUAGGCGGUCCGGUAAGUCGGCUGUGAAAGUCCAGGGCUCAACCCUGGGAUGCCGGUCGAUACUGCCGGACUAGAGUUCGGAAGAGGCGAGUGGAAUUCCCGGUGUAGCGGUGAAAUGCGCAGAUAUCGGGAGGAACACCUAUGGGCGAAGGCAGCUCGCUG
rnacentral:rRNA from 1 species